AGCCUCUGAUUGCCUCUGCAAAGGUUGUUCAGUUAAUUUUAUUUUUAUUUAUUGGCUUUAGUAAAAUCCCUGAUUCCUCUUAUUUUACAGACAGUAUCAGCCCUGAAUAACAGUAACAAUAGAAAUAGUUGUGUUAUUUAUAGUGAUCGCUUACAGAACCUUUUGAUCGAGUUGACAAAUUAAUGUUACGUUCUCAUGUUUAACAGCAGUCUCCAGCGCCAUGGGAAUGGACAGAGGUCGGGUCAAGGCCAGCAGGCUGCGGACGUUCCUCCUUGUUCACCUCCUUCGCCUUCGUCCGCCGUGAUGAAGCUGCCCUGAUGUGACGUUUCACCACCGGAAAGAGCCAAAACACUAACCAAACCUGAUCAGCCGCGGCCUCCUGCUGUCUAAUAAGGACCGGAGUGGAACGUGUAAAGGAAGCUACGUUCAUCUACUUUGGAACAGCUGUACUGCACAGCGGGAGUCCUGCUGCUGGAGAUGAUCAGACUGCAGAGCACUUCAUGAAGUUGGAGUUAAUUCUGGCACAGGAAUUAUUUCAGAUGAUUGUAAUUAAUCUAAGUUUAACACAGCUGUUCAGUUUUUAGCUUUUCGUGAUCAUCUGCUUCUGUUAAAAACAGAAUGUGGGUGUUUUUGUCAGCUGAUUUGAGGCAAAUACUUGUAAAAUAAAGCUAAAAAUGUGAAGACUUAUGAAGGCAUAUAGGUCAUUUGUAAAUUUCUGAUUGGUGCUAUAACACCUUUAGAGGGCAGCAGUGAGCACCAGUUUUUUGUUUUUUUUUGAGGUUGGCCUUUCAUGAGUCAGAAGCUUGGAUAUCCAUACCUAGAUGCCGCAUUGUCUGCUGUUCUCUAAGGUGAUAUGUCUGGGCGUCCACCAUGUUGGAGAGGUCAAUAUUCGCUUGUGAACAGAUUCACUUGUAUUGAGAGACGAUGAGCCUCAGGAUUAAAUCAGCCAUGACUUCCUUAUUACUCAACUGAUUUUCACCUAAUCUGUUUACUUAUAAUCCUCAGACACAGAUUAAUCCAGGCCGCACGGAUCUGCUCUCAGUAGGUUUUAUUACUUUAAUAACUGAUCGUGAUAAUUAGUCCAGACCAGCAGGACAGUAUUCUGUCUGAUCCGGACGUUAAAAACCAAGUUUAGUGUGAGAAACAGAAUCACACAUCAGUAAAUCCAUCAGUGAGUGAAUCAGUUCUGAUAUUAAUACACAGAAAAAUAAAAUAAACCCCCAAAACACAGUAAGAAGGACGACAUCGGCUUCCUAUUGUCACGAUUGGCUCCUCCAACUCCAUGUGCUUUUUGUUUUUGGUCUUCCAUGUUUGUUUUGGUUCAUGCCCCUUGUUUUGUGACUCCGCCCCUGAUUGUUUUCACCUGUCCCUCGUCUUCCCGGUGUCGUAUUUAAGCCCUGUGUUUGCCCUUUGUUUUCGCUGGUCUUUGUUUGAAUUUGGCUAGUCUUUGUUGAUUGUUAUCUUUUGUGUUGGUUGUACUGGUCUAUGUACAGUUGUUGGUUCUGUUUUAUUCUGGUUUGUCAUGUCUGUCCCCCAAUCUAUCUGUGUUGGAUCUAUGACCCUGGACCAUCUUGACUAUGACCCUGGAUUUGCCCACAAUAAAAGUCGCUUAUCUCCACAUAUGCGUCUGCCUCCUCGCUCCCCGUUACACCUAUCUGCAAGCUUCUUACCAGAGGAAAAACAACCACAUCAGCAGGUUCUCUGGGCCACGUUGACCACACGAACAUAUAUAACCAUAAACAUCACACAGGCGUGAGUGUGGAUCACUGCAUUCCCUCCAUUAUAUAAUCCCAUCCCACUUUCUGAGAGCGAUAUUCCUGAAAUAUUGGAAUUCUGGACAGUAUCUUUCUCAAAAUGCCGCUCUGUAAUGUUGCUGAAUGCAGUCCAGCAGCGAUGUUGACCUCCCCAAUAUGGCAGCGCCAUUUGAGGUAACACUUCACAUGCGCUCUGCUGCAUAACCGUGCUAUAAACAUGUUACAGCAGAUGUCAUAAACUGUCAUAUAACAUCUGACGUGUUUAUAUCAGGGUUGUGUCAGAUUUACAGUUCAAGUAGUGUUACUAUGUCAAACCGCUGUCCUAUAGAACCUUUUUGAAAAUGGGCUGUCCUGUAUACAAGCUUGAUAUGGUGUCUAUAGAAUAACCCUUAUCAAAAAGGUUCUGUUUAGAACCACAUACAGCACAUUCUUCAUCAACCUGAAGAGCCGCUUCACCAUGCUGAGAACCAUUUAUGCAUGCACAUGCUUUUCUGAGUGUUCGUGGUUCUAAAUAGAACCACCCUCUUUAAAAAAGAUGGUUCUUUAAGGGUUCUUCAAUAGAGAGUAGUUCCAUACAGAACCAAAACCACUUAAAGAACUCUUUGCAUGAUGAAGGGAUUCUUUGCAUGGUGCAGUGGUUCUUCAGAUUGAUGGACAAUGUGCUGUAAAUGGUUCUAUACAGAACCUUUUCGAAAUGGGUUUUAUGUAGCAACCAAAUGGGAACCAAGAACACUCAAAGAACCAUGUACAUGGCUGAAUGGUUCUGCAGGUUGAUAAAGAAUGUGUUGUAUAUGGUUCUAUAUGGAACCUUUUUGAAAAUUGGUUCUACUGUAUACAAGCUUGACAUAGUGACUAUAAAAGAACCCUUUUCAAAAAGGUUUAUAUGCAACACAUUCUCCAUCAGUCUGAAGAACCAAUUCACCAUGCAGAGAACCAUUUAGGCGUGCACAUGCCUCUCUUGAGUGUUCAUGGAUCUAAACAGAAGCACACUCUUAAAAGAAGAUGGUUCUUUUAAAGAGUUCUUUGCAAUGUGCAAUGGUUCUUCAGACUGAUGGUGAAUGUGCUGCAUUGGUUCCACCUUAAAUGACUCAGCUGUGAAGUUUGAAUAAGAAGUCAGUUUCAGUCUCGUUCUAAGAUGUUCUAAGAUGUUCCACCACAGUUUGAGAACACACUUUCUGCUUCUUUUGUGCUUCUGCUGAAGAUGCUUUUUUGGGAAGGUUCUUGAUAACGUAAUCAAAGGAAAAAAGACUUUAUGGCAGAAAUAGAGGCUCAAAUCGAGGUUAAUUAUGAAGUUCUGUUGGUGUGACUCUCUGCCUCGUGUUUUGUUGUUUGCGAGGCUGUAAAUAAAUCAGCCCAUUCUUUUCCUUCAGCUGCUCUGAGUCAGUUCACCUCUGAUGAGCUGCAGUAAUUCAUUAAAUGACUAAAGUCCUGCUUCCAGCAACAGCCCAGUGGAUUAAGCAGAAUGCUUUAAAUAAAGCAGCGAUUCUG